GUAGGGAAUAUUGGGCAAUGGUCGGAAGACUGACCCAGCCAUGCCGCGUGCAGGAAGACGGCCCUCUGGGUUGUAAACUGCUUUUAUCUGGGAAGAAAAAGGCCAUGCGUGGCAAAUUGCCGGUACCAGAUGAAUAAGCACCGGCUAACUCCGUGCCAGCAGCCGCGGUAAUACGGAGGGUGCGAGCGUUGUCCGGAUUUAUUGGGUUUAAAGGGUGCGUAGGCGGCUGAUUAAGUCAGCGGUGAAAGACUUCGGCUUAACCGGAGCAGUGCCGUUGAUACUGGUUGGCUUGAGUGUCGGGGGGGUACAUGGAAUUGAUGGUGUAGCGGUGAAAUGCAUAGAUACCAUCAGGAACACCGAUAGCGAAGGCAUUGUACUGGCCGACAACUGACGCUGAUGCACGAAAGUGUGGGGAUCGAACAGGAUUAGAAACCCGUGUAGUCC
rnacentral:rRNA from 1 species